AAGGCCCUAGCUUAAUUAAAGCGUCUGAGUUGCAUUUAGGAGAUGUAGGUUAAUAUCCUACGGGUCUUA
rnacentral:tRNA from 1 species